rnacentral:rRNA from 1 species
GAUGGCGAGUGGCGAACGGGUGAGUAAUACAUCGGAACGUGCCCUGUAGUGGGGGAUAACUAGUCGAAAGAUUAGCUAAUACCGCAUACGACCUGAGGGUGAAAGUGGGGGACCGCAAGGCCUCAUGCUAUAGGAGCGGCCGAUGUCUGAUUGGCUAGUUGGUGAGGUAAAGGCUCACCAAGGCGACGAUCAGUAGCUGGUCUGAGAGGACGAUCAGCCACACUGGGACUGAGACACGGCCCAGACUCCUACGGGAGGCAGCAGUGGGGAAUUUUGGACAAUGGGCGAAAGCCUGAUCCAGCAAUGCCGCGUGUGUGAAGAAGGCCUUCGGGUUGUAAAGCACUUUUGUCCGGAAAGAAAUGGCUCUGGUUAAUACCUGGGGUCGAUGACGGUACCGGAAGAAUAAGGACCGGCUAACUACGUGCCAGCAGCCGCGGUAAUACGUAGGGUCCAAGCGUUAAUCGGAAUUACUGGGCGUAAAGCGUGCGCAGGCGGUUGUGCAAGACCGAUGUGAAAUCCCCGAGCUUAACUUGGGAAUUGCAUUGGUGACUGCACGGCUAGAGUGUGUCAGAGGGGGGUAGAAUUCCACGUGUAGCAGUGAAAUGCGUAGAGAUGUGGAGGAAUACCGAUGGCGAAGGCAGCCCCCUGGGAUAACACUGACGCUCAUGCACGA